AGUCGCCAUCUUGGAUAGGGGUAGGAGUCUUGGCUGAGGUCGGACGCCGUGGGCCGAGGUGGGCUUCUGCCGCCGCUCUGCAUCUGCUGAACUGUCCCGCGUACUUCCUGCUGCGGGCCCCAAGCCUGUACAAAAAACCCCACGGAUCUCGCCUCCCUGGGCCCCGGCUCGUGGCGCAGGUCAGAGGAGUUCUGGGGUCAGUCGAGACCCAACGAGGGAGACUGGGGAGGCUGGAGAAACUGCCCUCCUGCCUGCCCUGAACCCUGAGUGGUGGUCCCCAUGGGCCUGAAGCGGUGUGCAGUUCUUGGCCAUUUGGAAGAUGACAGUUCUACCUGCAUGGCUCUCUGCUUCUAAAAGGAGAAGCUCCCUCCCACUCUACCCAGGAGUUUGCUGAACCUGACCACAUGUCCUCAGGGCCUGGAAGCCUGGCUAGGCAGCCAACCCCAUGGCUCGGAGGGGGGGCCUGCUCCUGGGCCUUGCAGUGCUGCAAAGCGAUUCUGUCUGUGCAAUAUCUCCAUGUAGCUCCAUGUGGCCUGGAACUGCAGGAGGAAGAAAGCAUCUACUGCGUAAAGGAAAGAAAGGAAAAUCCAUAGAAAUGGAAACAUAAAAAAUGAAAUAAAAAG